rnacentral:siRNA from 1 species
AGCACGCCAAAUAUAGUGGAGUAC